GCGCAGACGGCGGAGAGCAGAGAGGGAGCGCGCCUUGGCUCGCUGGCCUUGGCGGCGGCUCCUCAGGAGAGCUGGGGCGCCCACGAGAGGAUCCCUCACCCGGGUCUCUCCUCAGGGAUGACAUCAUCCGUCCACCUCCUUGUCUUCAAGGACCACCUCCUCUCCAUGCUGAGCUGCUGCCAAGGGGCCUGCUGCCCAUCUACACCUCACGAGGGCACUAGGAGCACGGUUUCCUGGAUCCCACCAACAUACAAAGCAGCCACUCACUGACCCCCAGGACCAGGAUGGCAAAGGAUGAAGAGGACCGGAACUGACCAGCCAGCUGUCCCUCUUACCUAAAGACUUAAACCAAUGCCCUAGUGAGGGGGCAUUGGGCAUUAAGCCCUGACCUUUGCUAUGCUCAUACUUUGACUCUAUGAGUACUUUCCUAUAAGUCUUUGCUUGUGUUCACCUGCUAGCAAACUGGAGUGUUUCCCUCCCCAAGGGGGUGUCAGUCUUUGUCGACUGACUCUGUCAUCACCCUUAUGAUGUCCUGAAUGGAAGGAUCCCUUUGGGAAAUUCUCAGGAGGGGGACCUGGGCCAAGGGCUUGGCCAGCAUCCUGCUGGCAACUCCAAGGCCCUGGGUGGGCUUCUGGAAUGAGCAUGCUACUGAAUCACCAAAGGCACGCCCGACCUCUCUGAAGAUCUUCCUAUCCUUUUCUGGGGGAAUGGGGUCGAUGAGAGCAACCUCCUAGGGUUGUUGUGAGAAUUAAAUGAGAUAAAAGAGGCCUCAGGCAGGAUCUGGCAUAGAGGAGGUGAUCAGCAAAUGUUUGUUGAAAAGGUUUGACAGGUCAGUCCCUUCCCACCCCUCUUGCUUGUCUUACUUGUCUUAUUUAUUCUCCAACAGCACUCCAGGCAGCCCUUGUCCACGGGCUCUCCUUGCAUCAGGACGAAUAAUUUAUGGUCAGUGAAAAUCCAGGCCCCAGUGAGAUUCGAGUGGGCUGUAAAAUCGAGAGUCCUGCUCCCACCAAGCUUCUUGAAAGGCCUGUCUACACUUGCUGUCUUCCUUCCUCACCUCCAAUUUCCUCUUCAACCCACUGCUUCCUGACUCGCUCUACUCCGUGGAAGCACGCUCACAAAGGCACGUGGGCCGUGGCCCGGCUGGGUCGGCUGAAGAACUGCGGAUGGAAGCUGCGGAAGAGGCCCUGAUGGGGCCCACCAUCCCGGACCCAAGUCUUCUUCCUGGCGGGCCUCUCGUCUCCUUCCUGGUUUGGGCGGAAGCCAUCACCUGGAUGCCUACGUGGGAAGGGACCUCGAAUGUGGGACCCCAGCCCCUCUCCAGCUCGAAAUCCCUCCACAGCCACGGGGACACCCUGCACCUAUUCCCACGGGACAGGCUGGACCCAGAGACUCUGGACCCGGGGCCUCCCCUUGAGUAGAGACCCGCCCUCUGACUGAUGGACGCCGCUGACCUGGGGUCAGACCCGUGGGCUGGACCCCUGCCCACCCCGCAGGAACCCUGAGGCCUAGGGGAGCUGUUGAGCCUUCAGUGUCUGCAUGUGGGAAGUGGGCUCCUUCACCUACCUCACAGGGCUGUUGUGAGGGGCGCUGUGAUGCGGUUCCAAAGCACAGGGCUUGGCGCACCCCACUGUGCUC
rnacentral:lncRNA from 1 species